rnacentral:rRNA from 1 species
ACGCUAGCUACAGGCUUAACACAUGCAAGUCGUGGGGCAGCGGAUGCUUAGCUUGCUAAGUAUGCCGGCGACCGGCGCACGGGUGAGUAACGCGUACCGAACCUGCCCAUCACACAGGGAUAGGCUCGCGAAAGCAAGAUUAAUACCUGAUGGUCUCAGUUGUAUGCAUGCAUGAUUGAGUAAAGCCUUCGGGCGGUGAUGGAUGGCGGUGCGUCCCAUUAGGAAGUUGGCGGGGUAACGGCCCACCAAUCCUUCGAUGGGUAGGGGUUCUAAGAGGAAGGUCCCCCACAUUGGAACUGAGAUACGGUCCAAACUCCUACGGGAGGCAGCAGUGAGGAAUAUUGGUCAAUGGGCGGGAGCCUGGACCAGCCAAGUAGCGUGCGGGAUGAAGGCCCUUGUGGUCGUAAACCGCUUUUAUCAGUGAAUAAAGUGCACCACGUGUGGUGUCAUUGCAGGUAGCUGAAGAAAAAGGACCGGCUAAUUCCGUGCCAGCAGCCGCGGUAAUACGGAAGGUCCGGGCGUUAUCCGGAAUUAUUGGGUUUAAAGGGAGCGCAGGCGGGAGUGUAAGUCAGCUGUUAAAUAUCAGGGCCCAACUCUGUUAUGCAGUUGAAACUAUAUUUCUUGAGUACGCACAGGGAUGGCGGAAUUCAGGGUGUAGCGGUGAAAUGCUUAGAUAUCCUGAAGAACUCCGAUCGCGAAGGCAGCCAUCCGGAGCGUAACUGACGCUGAGGCUCGAAGGUGCGGGUAUCGAACAGGAUUAGAUACCCUGGUAGUCCGCACGGUAAACGAUGAAUACUCGCAGUUCGGUCAUUAUGAUUGAGUUGUCCAGCGAAAGCGUUAAGUAUUCCACCUGGGGAGUACGCCGGCAACGGUGAAACUCAAAGGAAUAGACGGGGGCCCGC